UACGUAGGGUGCGAGCGUUAAUCGGAAUUACUGGGCGUAAAGCGCGCGUAGGUGGUUCAGUAAGUUGGAAGUGAAAUCCCCGGGCUCAACCUGGGAACUGCUUUCAAAACUGCCGAGCUAGAGUACGGCAGAGGGUGGUGGAAUUUCCUGUGUAGCGGUGAAAUGCGUAGAUAUAGGAAGGAACACCAGUGGCGAAGGCGACCACCUGGACUGAUACUGACACUGAGGUGCGAAAGCGUGGGGAGCAAACAGG
rnacentral:rRNA from 1 species